GUUGACCCUAGCUCUAGAUGAGUCGAUCCCUAUUUAAGCCUAAUCGAUCCCUAAAUAGCCACAGUCAAAAAGUAGAGAGCUAGCUUGAGACAUAGUGUCUCUUGAGUCGACCCUGGUUUCAAGCAAGUCGACCCCAAAAUGGUUUUAAGGAUGAGAUGAGAAGUGUGGAGAAGCCUUGAAGAAUAAAGCUUAAAGUUGGAAAAGCAUUUGAAUUAUUUGGAGAAAUACUUGAGGCAUUUUGGAAGCCUCUACAAUGGAGGAGUCAACACC
rnacentral:lncRNA from 1 species